AAUGUGAUGCCUGAUAAAAGGUUUGUUUUGAUAGAACAAAUAAUGUAGUCAACCUACUCUCAUUA
rnacentral:tRNA from 1 species